rnacentral:rRNA from 1 species
CCUACGGGUGGCAGCAGUGGGGAAUAUUGCACAAUGGGCGCAAGCCUGAUGCAGCCAUGCCGCGUGUGUGAAGAAGGCCUUCGGGUUGUAAAGCACUUUCAGCGGGGAGGAAGGCGUUAAGGUUAAUAACCUUGGCGAUUGACGUUACCGGCAGAAGAAGCACCGGCUAACUCCGUGCCAGCAGCCGCGGUAAUACGGAGGGUGCAAGCGUUAAUCGGAAUUACUGGGCGUAAAGCGCACGCAGGCGGUCUGUCAAGUCGGAUGUGAAAUCCCCGGGCUCAACCUGGGAACUGCAUUCGAAACUGGCAGGCUAGAGUCUUGGAGAGGGGGGUAGAAUUCCAGGUGUAGCGGUGAAAUGCGUAGAGAUCUGGAGGAAUACCGGUGGCGAAGGCGGCCCCCUGGACAAAGACUGACGCUCAGGUGCGAAAGCGUGGGGAGCAAACAGGAUUAGAUACCCGGGUAGUC